AUGAUGAAAUCAGGCAGCAAGUCGUUGAGCUUGAAGAUGGAGACGAAUCCAGCAACGCUGCUCCGGAUGAGGACUAUUCCAUCACAAGUGAGUACUUUUUUUCAUUCAUAUUUCAUCAAUUCGUAUCAUCCUCGUCAUCGCUACGUUUUAUCUGUGGAUGGUGGUCGUGCACUGAUACCAGAUGCACGUGGAUCUAUUCCGAAGACCGAAUUCAAAUGGAAUGAAAAAUCCGUCAGAGUCCUCUUAAUGUUGAGAUUUCAACGGGAUGAAGAGUUCAACCGACCGUCUUGUAGAAAAAUUAAGUUAUGGGAACAAGUUGCUAAAGAAAUGCAAAAAAAUGGAUUCAUUGUCAAUGGUCAUUCUUGUGAUAGUAAAUAUAGAAACCUAUUAGCCACUUACCGAAAGAAUAAAAUCAAGCAGCAGACAAGUGAUGAGUCCGUCGUCAUUUCAUGGGAGUUCUUUGAAUUCAUGGACGAACAUCUGGGCCCCAAAUUUGAUGAAACGUCUGAAUCUUUUGAGUAUGCCAUUCAAGCUACUCCCUCAGCAGUCGAAUCUGACUAUGAAGGAAGAUAUUUUUUAACUUCAGCAACGCCAUCUAAAAAACCGCGACUCAACAGUGUGCAAUACACCUCAGUGGAAGACGAAAGGAAGAUGUCUAUUCAAGAGUAUUUCUUUGAAAAGCUCCAGUUUGACAAGACUUGUUACAAGGAUGACCAGAGAAGAAAAAUCGGAGAAUUGAACUUCAGGAGAGAAAAAUCAAGAUUGCAGAGAAACAACUUGAGUUGGAGAUAA
rnacentral:lncRNA from 1 species